rnacentral:rRNA from 1 species
GUAGGGAAUCUUCCACAAUGGACGCAAGUCUGAUGGAGCAACGCCGCGUGAGUGAAGAAGGUCUUCGGAUCGUAAACUCUGUUGUUAGAGAAGAACACGAGUGAGAGUAACUGUUCAUUCGAUGACGGUAUCUAACCAGCAAGUCACGGCUAACUACGUGCAG